rnacentral:rRNA from 1 species
AGCUCCAAUAGCGUAUAUUAAAGUUGUUGCAGUUAAAAAGCUCGUAGUUGGAUCUCGGGUAUCGGCCAGCGGUCUGCCUCGUGGUGGUACUGCUGGACCGAGCCUACCAUCCGGUCGUGGGCGGGUGCUCUUUGCUGAGUGCCCGUUCUGGCCGGAACGUUUACUUUGAAAAAAUUAGAGUGUUCAAAGCAGGCAUUGGGCCUGAAUAAUGGUGCAUGGAAUAAUGGAAUAGGACCUCGGUUCUAUUUUGUUGGUUUUCGGAACUAGAGGUAAUGAUUAAGAGGGACAGACGGGGGCAUUCGUAUUACGGUGUUAGAGGUGAAAUUCUUGGAUCGCCGUAAGACGAACUACUGCGAAAGCAUUUGCCAAGAAUGUUUUCAUUAAUCAAGAACGAAAGUAG